UUCCUGGUGGUCUAGUGUUUAGGAUCCAGCACUUUCACUGCUGUGGUCUAUGUUCAAUUCCCAGUCAGGGAA
rnacentral:tRNA from 1 species